ensembl:lncRNA
CGAAAAGGGGGGCUGGAGGGCAGCUCACAUUCAAAGCUUGAAAGGAAAGGCUUAAGGAGAAUGACAGCCCCCCCGAGGAGCCCCUCCUCCCGUUAAGGCGGCGCGGCCCCGCGCAGCCACGGGGCGAAGGCACAUCUCCGAGCGGAGCGGAGGCCCCGCUCCCUCCGGCUCACGUGGGGGCGAGGCGGAGGCUCCGGGCUCCGGAGAGUGGCUUUGUCCGUACUCCGUGCCGACGUGCUGGUAGCGGGGUGCAGCAACCAUGCUUCCUUAAUUGAACAUCGUGGACGUCAUUUGUCAAAGGCAGAGCAUUGCAUGAACUAAGCAUAUUCCUGAGAGAAUGUGCAUCAGGAGCGGCUGAGUGGCCAUGUUGAAACCUUUCUGUGAAUUUGUAAGAAGUUACCAUAUAUAGAGCAAUCACUGUCAACAUUAUCAUAUUAGCAUUUACUGUGCUGGAAAGUCUAACAAGGAAAGGCUUUGAUGCUGCAGAUAGGUCUUUGUCCCUUGGAGAUGCUGAUGCAAAUGUGCUUUGUUCAUGGAAUGGCCCUGGAAACAGUCAGAAAGGGGAGGAUCUUCUCUGCGCUGGCAACAAGGCAAAAACCCAAUUGCAGCUGUGCAGUGGCUAUUGCAUCAGCAGUGCAAGUCAACAUUUCCCCAGGAAUGUAAAGCCAUCUGUCACAUCCCUGCAACCUUUCUUGGUUACUCUCCCAGUGUGCUGCGCUGGCCUUUUUUUUUUCUGUCUGACACAGAACCUUUUAUUGGAACAUAUUUGAAAAGCUAAAUUCAGCAAAUGCAAGUUAUUAAAACUGUUUUUUAUAUGAUAAAAAUACAAAUGUGGGAGAUACUUUUUCACAAGUCAAAUUAUUGAACUGUGAUGUUUUGAGGAAACAGUUUCUCUCUUUAUUCUAAGAAUAAAUGAUUGUAGCAUACACGAUCAUUUAUUUAGAAAUAGGGUCAUUUCUUGUACUUUACUAAAUCUUGUCUUGAAAAGGUAGAAAAACAGAAAUAUCAAGAAGACUAUAUAUUAUGUAAUUGUAUACUGUCUUUGCUGAACUUUGAAAAGUUCUUUCAGUGCCCUCUCCUUGCUCUCAAUGCAAAGUAAUCUACUACCCACUGUUACUCUUAUCAGAUGUCUUUUCUGUGGAGUGGGCUAGCUCUGUUUCAGGAACAAAUUCUUGUGCUAGAUAAGGUCAAGUGAGAUAAGUUUUUGGAGACUGAGUUUUAAUCUUGCUUUGUUGUAAAUCAUGAGAAAGCAUGCUGAUUUUCAUCAGUGAGAAUUCUUACUUGGGCACCAAGUCUCCAGUGAUCACUUUGUAAUGUCACAAGUUAUUCAUAAUCUACUAUUGAGGUCACAGAAAAGUAUUCAUGUUUGGUUCUCUUAGGGAAUGUCUAGGCUUUGACAUUGUUUCUUUCUAGCUUUGUGCUUUAUGUAAUUAUAACAGAAUAACAUGCUUGGGGCACCUUUCAUUUUUUGUCCUGUGAGAGUUUAAUAAACCAUGAGAGG